rnacentral:rRNA from 1 species
CCGGCCUCAGUCCGGAUCGGAGCUGCAACUCGACUCCGUGAAGUCGGAAUCGCUAGUAAUCUUGGAUCAAAAUGCCACGGUGAAUACGUUCCCGGGCCUUGUACACACCGCCCGUCACACCAUGGGAGUGGACUGCACCAGAAGUGGUUAGCUUAACCUUCGGGAGAGCGAUCACUACGGUGUGGUUCAUGACUGGGGUGAAGUCGUAACAAGGUAGCCGUAGGGGAACCUGCGGUUGGAUCACCUCCACA